rnacentral:rRNA from 1 species
CGAAGGGGGCUAGCGUUGCUCGGAAUUACUGGGCGUAAAGGGCGCGUAGGCGGACAGUUUAGUCAGAGGUGAAAGCCCAGGGCUCAACCCUGGAAUUGCCUUUGAUACUGACUGUCUUGAGUACGGGAGAGGUGUGUGGAACUCCGAGUGUAGAGGUGAAAUUCGUAGAUAUUCGGAAGAACACCAGUGGCGAAGGCGACACACUGGCCCGUUACUGACGCUGAGGCGCGAAAGCGUGGGGAGCAAACAGGAUUAGAUACCCUGGUAGUCCACGCCGUAAACGAUGAGUGCUAGUUGUCGGCAUGCAUGCAUGUCGGUGACGCAGCUAACGCAUUAAGCACUCCGCCUGGGGAGUACGGUCGCAAGAUUA